GAAGGGGGCUAGCGUUGUUCGGAUUUACUGGGCGUAAAGCGCACGUAGGCGGAUCGUUAAGUCGGGGGUGAAAUCCUGGAGCUCAACUCCAGAACUGCCUUCGAUACUGGCGAUCUUGAGUCCGGAAGAGGUGAGUGGAACUCCUAGUGUAGAGGUGGAAUUCGUAGAUAUUCGGAAGAACACCAGUGGCGAAGGCGACAUACUGGCUCAUUACUGACGCUGAGGCGCGAAAGCGUGGGGAGCAAACAGGAUUAGAUACCCUGGUAGUCCACGCCGUAAACGAUGAUUGCUAGUUGUCGGGAAGUUUACUUCUCGGUGACGCAGCUAACGCAUUAAGCAAUCCGCCUGGGGAGU
rnacentral:rRNA from 1 species